GGCAGAUCCUGAGGUGCGAUGAGUAAGGAAAGGUACGAAGUUCGGUUACAUUGUAAGAGCACGUGGGAAGGAGGUCAUGGAGAGAGGACCUUGACAGAGCAGUUCUCAACUUCAGAUGGAAAAAAUAAAAACCCAGGAUAACAAAAACAAUCCUGAACCAUAAAAGAACUUCCAGAGUUAUCACCAGCCCUGACUUCAAGCUGUACUACAGAGCAAUCGUCAUAAAACCUUCAUAGCAUUGGUGUAGGAAUAGACAGGUUGAUCAAUGGAACUGAAUCGAAGACACUGAAAUAAACCCAUGCACCUAUGGACACUUGGUUUUUGACAAAGAUGGCAAAAUCAUAGAUGGAAAAAAGAAAGCAUCCUCAACCAAUUGUGCUGGUCUAAGUGGAUGUCUUCACAUAGAUUUUUUUUUUUCUGAGAGUGUUAUAAGUGGGAGUGAAGUGCACAAUCUCUUUCUCAGUAUGUUUGGUUUUGGUAUGUAGAAAAACUAGCUAUUUUUGUAAGUUGGCUUUGUAUUCAGCCGCCUUGCAGAACUCAUUGAUAAGCUUUAGAGGUUUUCUGAUAGGAUCUCAUGUAUGGUAUACCAUGUGAAAACAGGAGUUUGUCUCCUUUUUCUAUUUGUACUCCUUUAAUUUUCUUUCUCUUGUCUUAUUGCAAUUGCUAGGGCUUUGGUCACCAUAUUGGAAAGAAGUAAUGGUGGGCAGCCCUGGCUCAUACCUGAUUUUAAUAGAGUUGUUUCAAGUUUUCCCCAUUAAGGAUAUUAUUCACCAAGUUUGUUACAUGUAGUCUUUGCUAGGUUGAAAUAUAUUUCUUCCAGUCCUGCUUUCUGCCUUCUAUCAUGAAGAGGUGUUGGAUUUUGUCAAAGGCUUUUUCUGCAUCUAUUUAGAUGAUUGUGUGGCUUUGACUUUAAGUCAGUUUAUACAAUGUAUUACAUUUAAUGACUUAUAUAUAUUAAACUAUCUGUACUAUCAGAGAUAGUAA